rnacentral:rRNA from 1 species
CAAUAGCGUAUAUUAAAGUUGUUGCAGUUAAAAAGCUCGUAGUUGGAUUUCUGGUAGGAGUGACCGUUCCGAACUUGAUUGUUCGUGUAUUGUGUUUUCUCCAGCCAUCCUUGUGGAGAACUUUUCUUGCAUUAAUUUGUAGGGAUUGGGACCCGCAUCGUUUACUGUGAAAAAAUUAGAGUGUUUAAAGCAGGCAAUCGCUUGAAUACAUUAGCAUGGAAUAAUAAGAUAGGACUUUGGUACUAUUUUGUUGGUUUGCAUACCAAAUUAAUGAUCAACAGGAACAGUUUGAGGAUAUUCGUAUGAACAUGUCAGAGGUGAAAUUCUUGGAUUUUGAUCAGAUGAACUACUGCGAAAGCAUUUAUCAAGGAUGUUUUCAUUAA